UACAGAGGAGCCAAGCGUUGUCCGGAUUGACUGGGCGUAAAGCGCACGCAGGCGGUUGUGCAAGACAGGUGUGAAAUCCCCGGGCUUAACCUGGGAACUGCAUUUGUGACUGCAUCGCUGGAGUGCGGCAGAGGGGGAUGGAAUUCCGCGUGUAGCAGUGAAAUGCGUAGAUAUGCGGAGGAACACCGAUGGCGAAGGCAAUCCCCCUGGGCCUGCACUGACGCUCAUGCACGAAAGCGUGGGGAGCAACAGG
rnacentral:rRNA from 1 species